rnacentral:rRNA from 1 species
CGCAUCUGUGCAUGCAGCAUAUCAAUAAGCGGAGGAAAAGGAAACUAACAAGGAUUCCCUCAGUAACGGCGAGUGAAGCGGGAAGAGCUCAAAUUUGAAAUCUUGAAAGGUCACCUUUCACGAAUUGUAGUUUAAAGAAGUGUUUUCUGUUACGAUCGUAAUAUAAGUUCUUUGGAAUAGGACAUCACAGAGGGUGAGAAUCCCGUCUAUGAUUGCGAUUUGUAGCUUUGUGAUACACUUUCAAAGAGUCGGGUUGUUUGGGAAUGCAGCCCAAAACGGGAGGUAAAUUUCCUUCUAAGGCUAAAUAUUGGCGAGAGACCGAUAGCGAACAAGUACCGUGAGGGAAAGAUGAAAAGAACUUUGAAAAGAGGAGUUAAAUAGUACGUGAAAUUGUCAAAAGGGAAGCGUUUAACACCAGUGUUGUUUUCUGAAAAUCAACCUCUGUUAGCUUUAUGCAUGUUUGUUUAGACCUAAUCAGCUAUCUUGCAUGUUCUAUUGUUUGCAGUGGUGCACUUUUCAGUUUACAGGUCAACAUCAGUUUUUUUUACCGUAAAAAAGUUAAAGAAAGGUAGCUCAUGGCUCCGGUCGUGAGUGUUAUAGUCUUUUUCCUAUGCGGUAGGAGAGACUGAGGUCUGCAGUGUAGGCUAUUUGGCUAGAUACUCAGGUGCUAUGUGAUACCAUUUCAUAAACAACUUGUUGAUUAUGUUUUGUCUAUUGCAUACUCGCUUGUACUAUCAUACCUACGCUUAGGAUGUUGACGAUCAGCGAGCGCG